UCGCUGUUCUCAGCUUGUGAUUGGAGCCUGGGGUACAGUGCUUCCAUGCCGACGUGUGAAACGCAGCUUCUGUUUCCUACAUCUCGGCAGGAAGUAGGCGGCAGCGUUUGGAUAUUCUGCGCUAACACGCUGCCCUGGGACAGCCACCCCGCAGGCUCCAGGCUCCAGUCUGCAGCGUGGCCGUGGCCCUGACCCAGAGAGAAGGGAGAUACUUCUACAGAAAGGCGUGUGUGGGGAACCGUCCAUCUUCUCUCCCCCCACAGAAGACUAAACAAAAUGCCUUCCAAGCCAGCAAAGCAAGAGUGGCAUCUUGUUGCAGGUUUAGCCAAGGACAGACUGGAACAGGCCUUCUGCUCUACCAGAGGGCAAGUUCUGCAGGCCCACAGCUCUCUGCCUGCCCGGGAGGAGACCCUGCUGCAGGACCAGAAGCCGCCUGGAACCCAGGGGGGCUGCCCCGCAACCGCUGCCCAGAGAACACGAAGGGGGCACCUGUACCCGCUCUGCGGGGAUCCAGCCCGCUCCCGAGGGACCACUGCUCGCCGGAGCCUGCCUGGCUGGAGCUGCCCGGCCUAAGCCUGCCAGAGCUGAGCACCGGAGCCAAACCGGACCGGAGCCCGCAGCUGCCUCCCGUCCACCUGCCACUCUGCCCCGGGAUUGGAGCCGCAUUCACCUGCUGCUGCUGGGC